rnacentral:lncRNA from 1 species
GCCAUUAUAAAAAUAAUAAGGAGAUAAAUGGUAUAUGUUGAUUAUUGUAGGGGGGAAAGUGGCAAUCCCCCAAUAUCUUAAUACUCUCUUAAUAUAAUUUUAUGUCAAGUUAAAUUGUAUUAUGUUAAUUUUAUCUUAAUUUUAUGUUGUAGAUAAAUUUAAAGAAUAAAGAAAAAAUCAGAGCCAAAAGCAAGACAUAAACAACAUUGAUUGCAUUGAUUAAAAAAAAAAAGGGAAGUGCAGUCGAUUGACAUAAGUGAUAGUCAAAUGGCAGCAGUCACUUUUGACUAUCAUCUAUCUCUUUCUCUCUUUCAUUAUAAUAAUAAUAACAAAAUUAAUAAAAUAAGAAUGAGAAAAGGUCAUUGGUAGUCGAUAAAAUGGAGGAAGAAGAAGCGAAUUGGGAGGGAGCGGAAGAAGAAGAUGGGAGAAAAUGAAAGGAAGGUACAAGUUUAAAAAAAUAAUUUCUUCUUUUUUCUUUUGUAUUCAAUUUUUUUUGUAGUAUAUUUUAGAAGUUUGUUAAAUAAAUUAAGUGUUUUGCCUGUCAAUAUAAAUAGGGUUGGAUAAAAUAUCUGAUCCGAUCUGAUGUGAUCCGAUCUGAUUUGAUCCGAUCCGACCUAAUCUAAAAGAUAUCAGGUUCAAAUCGGAUAAGAUCACUAACAAAACCCAAUUGGGUGCUUUUCUGCCAACCUGAUCGGAUGGGUUUCAUUCGAUCCGAUCCUAAAAAUUGAUCGAGUUAGCUUUAAAAUAAAAAAGUUAUCAAUGAAACAAAGUCACAAACAAACAAACAAUGAAACAAAUCUAAAAUCUAAAUGAAAAAAUCUACACACACACACACUCACUCACAUACCUUACAUAGUCACACACAGGUUUAGUUCUUCAUAAAGAGAAGAGAAAAGUUUAAAUCUAGGGUUUCUUUCUUUUCUCCAAUCCCAAAAAAAAUCCCCCAUUUUUCACAAUAGAUUCCUCCCUUAAAUACUCUCUCUCUCUUCUCUUUUAGAAUUCUAUUUAAAAUAAAAUACUAAUAUCUGAAAUAUUAAAUUCGUAAUUACAAAAAUAACCAAAAAUACAAAACAUGUUAAACUAAAAACUGCAGGUCCGCAGUUGACAGCACGCGCCCACGCCUUAUCAACAAAGUUCUUCUGCCGCUCAUAAUUUCUCCAAGGGAACAAUCAUCCCUAAACAUCAUCUUGUAGCUCAAUUUUAUCACCAAUCAAUAGAAUUGCACC